CUCGUUCCAGUUCUCUUAACGAAGUGCUGCAUCGUAAAAUAAAAAGAAACGGCGGACCGCAAAACAAAAGGGCCUCGCCCCUGCUGACAGCUGGGAGUCGCACUGCUGGCAGAGAUGUAAAUCUGCAUGUGUGGCAGCCAACAGAGCCGACGGGAGGAGAGGAUGAGGAUGUAGGAGAUGAAGAUACAGCGAGUGAGCAGGCGCCGGUCUGCUUCACCACCAGAGCGCAGUCCUCCGACACCAGCGGACAUUUCUCCUGUUUGCAGUCGGCCUUCCCCUCCUGCAGCACGGACAGAGAGGAGAGAGGAGUUAGUGUGUACGCUGACGACGCUGCUGCCUGUCAAAAGUGACGAGGAGGAAACCAAGAAGCUUUUUAUUUCACUCAGUCAUAGGAAACAAGUCAGUUCACUGUUAUAUUUUUUGAAUCCACUAGAUAAUCCAGUCAAUAUUAAUAUUUGACAGGUAGUUACA